rnacentral:rRNA from 1 species
CCUACGGGUGGCAGCAGUGAGGAAUAUUGGUCAAUGGACGAGAGUCUGAACCAGCGAAGUAGCGUGAAGGAUGACUGACCUAUGGGUUGUAAGCUUCUUUUAUAUGGGAAUAAAGUGAGGAACGUGUUCAUUUUUGUAUGUACAAUAUGAUUCAGCCUCGGCUAACUCCGUGCCAGCAGCCGCGGUAAUACGGGGGAUGCGAGCGUUAUCCGGAUUUAUUGGGUUUAAAGGGUGCGUAGGGGGUUAAUUAAGUCAGCGGUGAAAGGUUGUGGCUCAACCAUACAAUUGCCGUUGAAACUGGAUGACUGGAGUACAGGUGAGGUAUGCGGAAUGCGUGGUGUAGCGGUGAAAUGCAUAGAUAUCACGCAGAACUCCGAUUGCGAAGGCAGCUUACUAAACUAUAACUGACACUGAAGCACGAAAGCGUGGGGAUCAAACAGGAUUAGAUACCCCUGUAGUC